UACAGAGGCCUCGAGCGUUAGGCGGAAUCACUGGGCUUAAAGCGUGUGUAGGCGGACUUCUAAGUGCCUUGUGAAAUCCCACGGCUCACCCGUGGAACUGCUGGGCAUACUGGGAGUCUUGAGCCACCUAGGGGCGAGCGGAACAAAUGGUGGAGCGGUGAAAUGCGUAGAGAUCGGGAGGAACACCAGUGGCGAAGGCGGCCUUCUGGACCAGUACUGACGCUCAUGCACGAAAGCGUGGGGAGCAAACAGG
rnacentral:rRNA from 1 species